UGCCGCGUGUGUGAAGAAGGCCUUAGGGUUGUAAAGCACUUUCAGGGGUGAGGAAGGGUGUAUGGUUAAUAUCCAAACAUUUUGACGUUAGCCCCAGAAGAAGCACCGGCUAACUCUGUGCCAGCCGCCGCGGUAA
rnacentral:rRNA from 1 species